GGGGUUGUGGCUCAGCGGUAGAGCGCUCGCCUAGCAUGUGGAGGCCCUGGGUUCCAUCCUCAGCACCACA
rnacentral:tRNA from 1 species